UUAAGCGACUAAGCGUACACGGUGGAUGCCCUGGCAGUCAGAGGCGAUGAAGGACGUGCUAAUCUGCGAUAAGCGUCGGUAAGGUGAUAUGAACCGUUAUAACCGGCGAUUUCCGAAUGGGGAAACCCAGUGUGUUUCGACACACUAUCAUUAACUGAAUCCAUAGGUUAAUGAGGCGAACCGGGGGAACUGAAACAUCUAAGUACCCCGAGGAAAAGAAAUCAACCGAGAUUCCCCCAGUAGCGGCGAGCGAACGGGGAGCAGCCCAGAGCCUGAAUCAGUGUGUGUGUUAGUGGAAGCGUCUGGAAAGGCGCGCGAUACAGGGUGACAGCCCCGUACACAAAAAUGCACAUGCUGUGAGCUCGAUGAGUAGGGCGGGACACGUGGUAUCCUGUCUGAAUAUGGGGGGACCAUCCUCCAAGGCUAAAUACUCCUGACUGACCGAUAGUGAACCAGUACCGUGAGGGAAAGGCGAAAAGAACCCCGGCGAGGGGAGUGAAAAAGAACCUGAAACCGUGUACGUACAAGCAGUGGGAGCACGCUUAGGCGUGUGACUGCGUACCUUUUGUAUAAUGGGUCAGCGACUUAUAUUCUGUAGCAAGGUUAACCGAAUAGGGGAGCCGAAGGGAAACCGAGUCUUAACUGGGCGUUAAGUUGCAGGGUAUAGACCCGAAACCCGGUGAUCUAGCCAUGGGCAGGUUGAAGGUUGGGUAACACUAACUGGAGGACCGAACCGACUAAUGUUGAAAAAUUAGCGGAUGACUUGUGGCUGGGGGUGAAAGGCCAAUCAAACCGGGAGAUAGCUGGUUCUCCCCGAAAGCUAUUUAGGUAGCGCCUCGUGAAUUCAUCUCCGGGGGUAGAGCACUGUUUCGGCAAGGGGGUCAUCCCGACUUACCAACCCGAUGCAAACUGCGAAUACCGGAGAAUGUUAUCACGGGAGACACACGGCGGGCGCUAACGUCCGUCGUGAAGAGGGAAACAACCCAGACCGCCAGCUAAGGUCCCAAAGUCAUGGUUAAGUGGGAAACGAUGUGGGAAGGCCCAGACAGCCAGGAUGUUGGCUUAGAAGCAGCCAUCAUUUAAAGAAAGCGUAAUAGCUCACUGGUCGAGUCGGCCUGCGCGGAAGAUGUAACGGGGCUAAACCAUGCACCGAAGCUGCGGCAGCGACACUAUGUGUUGUUGGGUAGGGGAGCGUUCUGUAAGCCUGUGAAGGUGUGCUGUGAGGCAUGCUGGAGGUAUCAGAAGUGCGAAUGCUGACAUAAGUAACGAUAAAGCGGGUGAAAAGCCCGCUCGCCGGAAGACCAAGGGUUCCUGUCCAACGUUAAUCGGGGCAGGGUGAGUCGACCCCUAAGGCGAGGCCGAAAGGCGUAGUCGAUGGGAAACAGGUUAAUAUUCCUGUACUUGGUGUUACUGCGAAGGGGGGACGGAGAAGGCUAUGUUGGCCGGGCGACGGUUGUCCCGGUUUAAGCGUGUAGGCUGGUUUUCCAGGCAAAUCCGGAAAAUCAAGGCUGAGGCGUGAUGACGAGGCACUACGGUGCUGAAGCAACAAAUGCCCUGCUUCCAGGAAAAGCCUCUAAGCAUCAGGUAACAUCAAAUCGUACCCCAAACCGACACAGGUGGUCAGGUAGAGAAUACCAAGGCGCUUGAGAGAACUCGGGUGAAGGAACUAGGCAAAAUGGUGCCGUAACUUCGGGAGAAGGCACGCUGAUAUGUAGGUGAAGUCCCUUGCGGAUGGAGCUGAAAUCAGUCGAAGAUACCAGCUGGCUGCAACUGUUUAUUAAAAACACAGCACUGUGCAAACACGAAAGUGGACGUAUACGGUGUGACGCCUGCCCGGUGCCGGAAGGUUAAUUGAUGGGGUUAGCCGCAAGGCGAAGCUCUUGAUCGAAGCCCCGGUAAACGGCGGCCGUAACUAUAACGGUCCUAAGGUAGCGAAAUUCCUUGUCGGGUAAGUUCCGACCUGCACGAAUGGCGUAAUGAUGGCCAGGCUGUCUCCACCCGAGACUCAGUGAAAUUGAACUCGCUGUGAAGAUGCAGUGUACCCGCGGCAAGACGGAAAGACCCCGUGAACCUUUACUAUAGCUUGACACUGAACAUUGAGCCUUGAUGUGUAGGAUAGGUGGGAGGCUUUGAAGUGUGGACGCCAGUCUGCAUGGAGCCGACCUUGAAAUACCACCCUUUAAUGUUUGAUGUUCUAACGUUGACCCGUAAUCCGGGUUGCGGACAGUGUCUGGUGGGUAGUUUGACUGGGGCGGUCUCCUCCUAAAGAGUAACGGAGGAGCACGAAGGUUGGCUAAUCCUGGUCGGACAUCAGGAGGUUAGUGCAAUGGCAUAAGCCAGCUUGACUGCGAGCGUGACGGCGCGAGCAGGUGCGAAAGCAGGUCAUAGUGAUCCGGUGGUUCUGAAUGGAAGGGCCAUCGCUCAACGGAUAAAAGGUACUCCGGGGAUAACAGGCUGAUACCGCCCAAGAGUUCAUAUCGACGGCGGUGUUUGGCACCUCGAUGUCGGCUCAUCACAUCCUGGGGCUGAAGUAGGUCCCAAGGGUAUGGCUGUUCGCCAUUUAAAGUGGUACGCGAGCUGGGUUUAGAACGUCGUGAGACAGUUCGGUCCCUAUCUGCCGUGGGCGCUGGAGAACUGAGGGGGGCUGCUCCUAGUACGAGAGGACCGGAGUGGACGCAUCACUGGUGUUCGGGUUGUCAUGCCAAUGGCACUGCCCGGUAGCUAAAUGCGGAAGAGAUAAGUGCUGAAAGCAUCUAAGCACGAAACUUGCCCCGAGAUGAGUUCUCCCUGACUCCUUGAGAGUCCUGAAGGAACGUUGAAGACGACGACGUUGAUAGGCCGGGUGUGUAAGCGCAGCGAUGCGUUGAGCUAACCGGUACUAAUGAACCGUGAGGCUUAACCUU
rnacentral:rRNA from 1 species